UUAAAAUAUAAAUCAAAUUAAAUCCAGUGUUGUUUUAGUGUUAGUGUUUUUUUUAUUCAUAUUAGCUUUUAUUUUUAUAUUUUCAGUAAUUGUUUUAUUUUAUUUUAUUUUAUUUUUUUUUUUUAUUUUUUUUUUCCAGCAAAUUUAAUUUUAAGUUAUUUUAAGUUUAAAAACUUCAUCUAAUAUUAUAUUAUACCUAAAUCAGUUUGACGUGCUCUUUGUGCUUCUGUAGUGCCCACCGGACACUCCCAAGAGUCGACGAGCCGCAGAGAACCAGGUGGAGUUUGCGCCCAAUCCCUUCGCUCAGGAAAUUCUUGGAUCCAAGGAACUGGCAGAAAAAUGUGCAGGCUGUGUACUGCUCAAUGAGGAAUCAAGUGUGGGUAUUCCCGUUCAGUUUGUUAUGUGUGCAGCAUGUUUAAUGGCUGUGUAGGUAGACAGCAGGAUUUGCAUGCAUGAGUGUGCAUGAGUGCUGCGUUAUCACGCCCUUGGAAAGAGAUGCAUUUAUGUCUUUGAAAAGUUUGGCAAGGAUUCAUGAUACCUGUUGGGUAUGAAUGUUUAAAGGUUGGCCAGCAGACAGUGGCUGCUUUGGAGGAACAUUUAUAAGAAC
rnacentral:lncRNA from 12 species